UCUUUAUCAUAUUCAUGAAAUACAAGGCAUGGAUAGGAUAAAGAAUCCUAGACACUUGAAAUGCAACAAGAUAAACAAGAUCCUAUGUGCAGCAACAUAAUGCAAAUGUGUGAUGUAUUAUGGAAUGAUUGUCGGUUCCCUGUUAACCCUGUUGGGAUGACAAUCAAUGAUGCCUUGGACAUACGAUCCAAGUCUUCAAGGAUGUUGACAUUGGG
rnacentral:lncRNA from 1 species